GUAAGUCAGACCAAUUAGUUUUGCCACCGGAUGUCAGGUAAACGGUGCUGUCUGUAACCUGGCCCCAGGUGACUGGGU
rfam:St. Louis encephalitis virus strain Hubbard, complete genome